UGGGGAAUUUUGGACAAUGGGGGAAACCCUGAUCCAGCCAUCCCGCGUGUGCGAUGAAGGCCUUCGGGUUGUAAAGCACUUUUGGCAGGAAAGAAACGUCAUGGGUUAAUACCCCGUGAAACUGACGGUACCUGCAGAAUAAGCACCGGCUAACUACGUGCCAGCAGCCGCGGUAAUACGUAGGGUGCAAGCGUUAAUCGGAAUUACUGGGCGUAAAGCGUGCGUAGGCGGUUCGGAAAGAAAGAUGUGAAAUCCCAGAGCUCAACUUUGGAACUGCAUUUUUAACUACCGGGCUAGAGUGUGUCAGAGGGAGAUGGAAUUCCGCGUGUAGCAGUGAAAUGCGUAGAUAUGCGGAGGAACACCGAUGGCAAAGGCAGCCUCCUGGGAUAACACUGACGCUCAUGCACGAAAGCGUGGGGAGCAAACAGG
rnacentral:rRNA from 1 species